rnacentral:rRNA from 1 species
UGGGGAAUAUUGCACAAUGGGGGAAACCCUGAUGCAGCGACGCCGCGUGAGCGAAGAAGGUUUUCGAAUCGUAAAGCUCUGUCCUAUGAGAAGAUAAUGACGGUAUCAUAGGAGGAAGCCCCGGCUAAAUACGUGCCAGCAGCCGCGGUAAUACGUAGGGGGCUAGCGUUAUCCGGAUUUACUGGGCGUAAAGGGUGCGUAGGUGGUCUUUCAAGUCGGGGGUUAAAAGCUACGGGUCAACCGUAGUUAGCCUCCGAAACUGGAAGAGUUGAGUGCAGGAGAGGAGAGUGGAAUUCCCAGUGUGGCGGUGAAAUGCGUAGAUAUUGGGAGGAACACCAGUAGCGAAGGCGGCUUUCUUGACUGCAACUGACACUGAGGCACGAAAGCGUGGGUAGCAAACAGG